AGGGAAAGUUGCAAAGAACUUUGAAGAGAGAGUUCAAGAGUACGUGAAACUGCUCAGAGGCAAACGGGUGGGCCCUCGAAAUCCUUCUUGCGGAGGGAUUCAGUCGGGAGCGAGCGAGGCGGCUGGGCGCCGGACCCCGGGAAGGGGCCGAAGUCCCCGGUCCGCAGUCUCUCUCGCGCCCGACGCACAUCCCCCCGCACUCAGGACGCCGCGACCGAUCGGGUAGCUGCGAGAGUCGGCCAUGAGGCGGCCCCAGGAGGUGACCGGGGAAUCGGCCCAGCGCCGGAUUCUCGGUUUUUAACGGGGCCGCUCUUCAGCGGCGCGACACCCGAUCGAGGUAAGCGUUCCCCCGUAAGGGGGGACCAACGUCCCCUUCCCACGCGGGAGCGGAGCACCGGGCCAGUGAGCUCCGGCGAGGUCGAACCACUCCUGGCAGUGGCCGGCCCGUCGGCAAGCCGUCGUUGGGUCCGGGCGACCGCGGAUGCGGGAAUCGGAGCGGUCUGCGGCGAGUAGGUCGGUCACCCACCCGACCCGUCUUGAAACACGGACCAAGGAGUCUAACAUGUGCGCGAGUCGCAGGGUCUUGUUCAGGCCCGCGGGCGCAAUGAAAGUGAUGGUCGGGACCGGCGGUCCCCCGGGAUCGCCGGGCACCGACGACCCGUCCGGUCCGAUCCGUCGGCAGGGCGGAGUCAGAGCGCACACGUUGGGGCCCGAAAGAUGGUGAACUAUGCCUGGGCAGAACGAAGCCAGAGGAAACUCUGGUGGAGGUUCGUAGCGGUUCUGACGUGCAAAUCGAUCGUCA
rnacentral:rRNA from 1 species